rnacentral:rRNA from 1 species
AUUGAACGCUGGCGGCAUGCCUUACACAUGCAAGUCGAACGGCAGCAUGAUCUAGCUUGCUAGAUUGAUGGCGAGUGGCGAACGGGUGAGUAAUACAUCGGAACGUGCCCUGUAGUGGGGGAUAACUAGUCGAAAGAUUAGCUAAUACCGCAUACGACCUGAGGGUGAAAGUGGGGGACCGCAAGGCCUCAUGCUAUAGGAGCGGCCGAUGUCUGAUUAGCUAGUUGGUGAGGUAAAGGCUCACCAAGGCGACGAUCAGUAGCUGGUCUGAGAGGACGAUCAGCCACACUGGGACUGAGACACGGCCCAGACUCCUACGGGAGGCAGCAGUGGGGAAUUUUGGACAAUGGGGGCAACCCUGAUCCAGCAAUGCCGCGUGUGUGAAGAAGGCCUUCGGGUUGUAAAGCACUUUUGUCCGGAAAGAAAUCGCACUUACUAAUAUUAGGUGUGGAUGACGGUACCGGAAGAAUAAGGACCGGCUAACUACGUGCCAGCAGCCGCAGUAAGAC